rfam:Gossypium raimondii Chr13_contig_695, whole genome shotgun sequence.
UGGAGAAGGGGAGCACGUGCAAAGUUCACUUAAACAUAGGAACUUGCACGUGCCCUGCUUCUCCAAC